AGGAUCUGGAGGAUAUAUUUCAAAGCCUCGGCUUUAAGCCAGAAGACAAGAUCCCCUUUCCUUUGCUAGCGCAGCAGUCUGUUCUUCAAGAGUUGAUGGACUCAUCGCAGUACCUGUUGGCAGACUUUUCCAGAAUUUUGGAGAUCCAGCAGAGUUCUUCAGUGGAACAUCCAGCAAAUGAAAUAACAUCUAACACAUCACCAGGAGCUGAGUAACUGUGGAGCAAAGUACAGAAAAUGAUUCCACUCUUUUAAAUUCAGUAGUUUUGAGAGUUAUUCAUUAUUAGCAUGAAAGAUAUUAGUUAUUAGCAGUUAUCUUGCUAAUAUGCAUUAAAUUUUCACAGUGCAGAGAAUCUUCAUUUCCUCUUAUACUGUACUAUUUUUUUAAAGUUUUUAUGUGAUGUAACAGCAGCCGAGCCUCCUUCUACAUCGAGUUCUCCAGCACCACAUUAUUUCUGGCUCUGUGUAGAUUUAAAGCACUGACUUUAGCUACAAAGCAAAACCACAGCCCACAUCCCUAAAAGAAGUUCCCAACAUGCACAUUGACGGCUUCUACUCUGAACUGUGUUCAUCACCUACUGCUCAACCGGUCAUUUCCUGCUUCACUAACUCAUCUCUAACAGGGUUCUAGAGCACUUUUGUGAUUAGACUCUGAGUGAAUUAGCAUUAGGUUAAGUUUUUGAAAACCAUGAAGUGCUUCUGCUGAUGCAGUAAAUGUAAUUACACACUUGCUAGAAUCAUACUGCUUUGCAUUAAUAAAUAGUUUAUAGACUG